ensembl:lncRNA
CGGUAUUAAGACCAUCUGUGAGGGAGAAGUACGCGGGGCUUUCGUGGCUCGUCUGGUCGAGUUGUCCAAUGAAAAAAAAAAGGCAUCAGGAAAAGAUAUAGAGAGCUCUGACCAAGACGGUUAUUUCCGUUGGAUUUAGGGACCACUCUGAUUUUCAUUAACAAUUGACCAGAAAGACCAGUUUUUCUGGAUAGCUUAUUUUGGUGUUUUUGGUUUUUGGAGAUCUUUAAUAAGAUAUUACACAGCUGGACAUUGCAUAACAGAAAUGUGGAAUGCUGCGUUCGGAAAUGGGUCGGAUUUGCGUAGUGGAGGAGGCGGCGGCGGGUACGUGCCAGCGCAGGACUGGGAAUUCGUUUCCUGCUCGCGUCUGGAAAGAGAAAGAGAGAGGGGCAGAGGGAAGAGUCGCAGUCCGUUCAGGACGUUCUCCUCCCCGCCAACAGUCACUCAGUUCUACGAACAGUCUCAUCCUGGAACGGUUGGAACAUCACUGGAGCUUCCUCGGGGACAAGUUCGGGCGCAAGAGCCAGGGACUCAUCACUCCCGCCUGAAAAAGAAGUUUGAACACUUCAAGAAACGCCACGGACAGGACAAGGAAGAAUGGAUACGAGAGAAGGAGAUACUUUUAAGACAAGUUGCUGAGAUACAAGGUGGGGAGAACAGAAGGAUUUUGUUGGAUCUGAAGACUGUAGUGGAGGAGGUACAGCUAGAGGUGAAGAGAGAGGAGUCGAAGAGGAGCGAGCUACAGCUGCAGUACACUAAGGACAGAUGUGCCUGGGAACUGGAGAGAGCUGAGCUGAAAUGCAGAAUCGCACAGUUGGAGGCUAGAGGAGGUCCUGUCGUUGAGCUGGGGCUGAGAACUCAGAGUCCAGAGCCCAGGGAGAGUCCUCUACAGCGGGGGACAGAGAGCAGCAGAGGAGGCUGCUGGUCGACACCCACACGGCCGCCAUGGACCUGCGCUGUCGGCUGGAGCUCAGCGAGAAGGGCU